rnacentral:rRNA from 1 species
GACGGAGGAUGCAAGUGUUAUCCGGAUUCACUGGGCGUAAAGGGUGCGUAUGUGGCAUGGUAAGUUUGAUGUGAAAGCUCAGGGCUCAACCCUGAAAUGGCAUUGAAUACUAUCGUGCUGGAGGUUUGGAGGGGGGACUGGAAUUCUUGGUGUAGCAGUGAAAUGCGUAGAUAUCAAGAGGAACACCAGUGGCGAAGGCGAGUCCCUGGACAACACCUGACACUGAGGCACGAAAGCCGGGGGAGCAAACAGG